rnacentral:rRNA from 1 species
AGAAUCAACGCUGGCGGCGUGCCUAACACAUGCAAGUCGCACGAGAAAGGGGAGCAAUCCCUGAGUAAAGUGGCGCACGGGUGAGUAACACGUGAAUGAUCUACCUCCGAGUGGGGAAUAACUGAGAGAAAUCUUGGCUAAUACCGCAUAAUACCCACGGGUCAAAGCAGUAAUGCGCUUGGAGAGGAGUUCGCGGCAGAUUAGCUAGUUGGCGGGGUAAUGGCCCACCAAGGCGAUGAUCUGUAUCCGGCCUGAGAGGGCGCACGGACACACUGGAACUGAAACACGGUCCAGACUCCUACGGGAGGCAGCAGUGGGGAAUUUUGCGCAAUGGGGAAACCCUGACGCAGCAACGCCGCGUGGAGGAUGAAGCCCCUUGGGGUGUAAACUCCUUUCGAUCGGGAAGAUAAUGACGGUACCGAUAUAAGAAGCCCCGGCUAACUUCGUGCCAGCAGCCGC